CAGUACAGGGUGAGCAUGUGCAGCGGCUGGACGGGCAGCUCCAGGCCGGCGACGGACCUGACCAGCUUGCUCGUCCAAGCGCCGACGGUCACGAUGCAUUUGGCGCCGUGGAACUCCUCGCCGUCGCUCGUCGUCACCCGGACGCCAGGCCCUCCCUCCUCCUUGACGAUACCGACGACCUCCUUGUUGUCCCUGAGGACGGCGCCCUUCUUGACGGCCAGCGCCUGGAACAUGGCGACGGCCUUGGUGGCGUCCAGCACGCCGCCGCCGAGCUCGCUCACGGCCGUCACCCACCCGUCCGGGACGCGGAACACGCCGCCUCCCCACCUCCCGGCCACGUCCACCUCCGCGGCGCCCCCGUUCCCGACGGCGGCGAGGAGCGCGGCGUUGCUGCGCGGGCCCAUGGCGAGGUGCGGCGACGGGGUGAGCACGCGGUAGCCGGCGUCGGCCUGGGCGUCGCCCCAGAGGCGGCGGGCGAGGCGGACCAUGGGCGGGUAGCGCGCCUUCGGGUAG
rnacentral:rRNA from 1 species